GUACUCAUGUCAGUGGUACAUGUACUAAAAUCAGAAAGACACAGAGAAGAUUAGCAUAAUCCCUGAACAAAGGUGACAUGCAAAUCAUGAAGAGUUCCAUAUUUUU